CGAAGCAGUCGCCGCCGCCGCCGCCGCCUCCUCGGCGCUCGCGCCGGCUGCUCCGCCGUAAAUGACUCGAGAGAGACACACACUCGCGUUCGCAGCCUUCCUCUCGGGUCCAGGAUUCAGCGCCCACCAGGGCAGGAGCGGGCGCCGAGCUUGGCGCGCUCGUCCCCCUCCCCUCCCCGAUUCCCCGUGGUCACGUGGCCCCAGAGCGCGCAGCCCACGGCUCGCGCGCCACGGAGACUCCCCCCCGCCUCCAGCUCCCCCUAGUCUGUCCACGUGUCCAUUCCGCAUUCCCGGCCUGGGGGCGCGCGCGGCUCCUUAACGAGACUCGGGCAGGGGCCGACCUCGCGAUUCAGUUCUCCUCUGUUUUACGUUUUAUUUUUCCUUCCUAAUGCAAGCUAGCGCUGGGAUCCAGUGGGGCUUGUGGCCGCUGCGUUUCUCCCGGGUAGAUGCCACUGCAGUCUCCGAUGUUCCCUUUCAAAGGAUGCAAGCUCCCCGCCGGCGCCGGAGGUGUUCUGCAGCCGUUCUGCCAGAGGCUCGGCUCCUCUCAGGUCCCGCCGUGUGGGAGCUCUCUGGUUCUGCGUCUUCCUGCGGUGCACGGAGGAGCGGAGGAGAGGAAGGCACAGCCUGGGGCAGACCCAGCCGGCCAGCCGUAGAGGGGUCGGAGAGGACGGGAUGCCUGCCUACAGGUUGCUUUGCAAGGCUUUGCUUGGGGUGGGGGGGGGGGGUGUGUGUGAAAGGCCCUUCUUGCACAUUCACCCAGGCACCUGCUGACAAGGGAGAGGGGGCGGCUGGGGUGUCGGGGUUCGUUCCCAUCACCAGGCCUCUUCCCUUACAAUACAACCCAGAUCAGACCGGACAAGUCAACUGUCUAUCAGUCUUUGGAUCCAUGGCGGUGAUUUUACAGCAUCAGAGAAAUGGCAUCUUGUUUAUGGAAAACGGACUUGGAUCGCUCUUAAGAUCCCCCCUCCACCCUGGCUGCUGGCUGUGUCCCUGCUUCAGCUUGGCACUGGGACCCAGGAGACUGCUCUCGCCCCUCCCCAACCCCACAUCUGCCUGGAACCGGAGUACUUCAAAGCUGCCCAGGAGCCUGAAGGUCCUCGGCUUCAGCCCGUUCCCCUGGCCAUCUCUGAAAACUGGCAGGGUCUUCUCUGGUUAGGGUCGUCCAGUGACUCAGACACGGGCUUCUCUCUGCCCUGACUUCAUUUCUCUUCCUUCCUCCCUUCCUUUUAUACCAGCACUGAGUAUCUCCAGCAUCACAGGCAUUAUUGGCCCAACAGUGAGCAAGAGAGAAGUACCCCUUGCCUCAUGAAUUCCCACUCUAGAGGAGAAGGCAGAACACAGAGCUUCUACCCAGAGAUGGCUAUGACUCCUGGUGUUGCAUGCUUUUGCUCAUCUUAAGAAGACCUGUGUCAGGAAGGGCAAGGGAACCGUGAUUUCUGCCCUGCUCUUCCUGUACCUGCCGUGUGGACCUGCCCUUCAUGGACUGGGGCCCCCUGCUGGGUCAGUGUCUGAUCACCCUCUGAUCCUCCAAGUGCCAGAUUUUCCACCUCCCUGAUGCCAACAGCUCUCCUGAGGAGUAAAUACCCAAACAACCCCAACUCCAGGGCCUGUAACCCUUGGCAGUACACAUUCCAGGGACCAGGAGGAGAAUGCAUUUGGCAUGCGGAAAACACAGCCACGCAGUAUUCCAGUCCCAGUAUACCUCUGCCUUUCCUACCACGCAGUGGGCUGCCCUUAACCUCACCCCUGAGUCCUAGGCAAGGGGAGGACAGUGAAGCAAUGUCAGGUAGAGCCAAGGCUGGAGAGAAGAGCUGGCCUGUGUGCAUGUUUCUGUCCCAGUGAGCACAUGACCAACUCAAGGUGGUAUUAUCUCCUCUCCAGGUGGGGGCUGUGUGUCUUUUUGGGUAAAGGGUUGGCAAUGGAGCUGUCUCAGUUUCCAGCUCCUAGGUGAUGUUUGGAGCAGCCUUAGCCUCCUGCCAAAUAGAAUGGCAGUGAGUGAGUGCUAUAUCAGGCCCCAGUGACACUUGGAUGCACACCAAGAACCCACAUAGAAACAAGCACCCCUUUCUCCCUGACCAGCCCAGGGGACACCUGCCCUUUAGUAUGUCCCUGGUUUUUAGGAAGCCUGCCAGCAGCAGAAGACAGGUGUCAUGAAGAGGACAUUCCUGGGAUCGCCCCAGAUUCCUAGUCUGUCUAGGAAAUCCAGGAGGGCUCUAGAUUUCCUAAGCUAGCCUUCUCACUUUACAGCCACAAAAAAUUUGAGGCCUG
ensembl:lncRNA